rnacentral:rRNA from 1 species
AGGACGAACGCUGGCGGCGUGCUUAACACAUGCAAGUCGAGCGGAAAGGCCCUUCGGGGUACUCGAGCGGCGAACGGGUGAGUAACACGUGGGCAACCUGCCCCUAGCUCUGGGACAACUCCGGGAAACCGGGCUAAUACCGGAUACGAUCUUCCACGGCAUCUCGGAAGAUGGAAAGUUUUUUCGGCUAGGGAUGGGCCCGCGGCCUAUCAGCUUGUUGGUGAGGUAACGGCCCACCAAGGCGACGACGGGUAG